rnacentral:rRNA from 1 species
AGUGGGGAAUUUUGCGCAAUGGGGGAAACCCUGACGCAGCAACGCCGCGUGGAGGAUGAAGUCCUUCKGGACGUAAACUCCUUUCGAUCGGGACGAUUAUGACGGUACCGGAAGAAGAAGCCCCGGCUAACUCUGUGCCAGCAGCCGCGGUAAUACAGAGGGUGCAAGCGUUAAUCAGAAUGACUGGGCGUAAAGGGCGUGUAGGUGGUUGACUAGGUUUGAUGUGAAAUCCCCGGGCUUAACCUGGGAAUUGCGUCSAAAACGGGUCGACUCGAGUGAGAUAGAGGGUUGUGGAAUUUCCGGU